GGGAAUCUUCGAAAGUCUGACGGAGCAACGUUCGGAUCGUGGCAGCAGUAAAAACUCUGUUGUUAGGGAAGAACAAGUACAAGAGUAACUGCUUGUACCUUGACGGUACCUAACCAGAAAGCCACGGCUAACUACGUGCCAGCAGCCGCGGUAAUACGUAGGUGGCAAGCGUUGUCCGGAAUUAUUGGGCGUAAAGCGCGCGCAGGCGGUCCUUUAAGUCUGAUGUGAAAGCCCACGGCUCAACCGUGGAGGGUCAUUGGAAACUGGGGGACUUGAGUGCAGAAGAGAAGAGUGGAAUUCCACGUGUAGCGGUGAAAUGCGUAGAGAUGUGGAGGAACACCAGUGGCGAAGGCGACUCUUCUGACGCUGAGGCGCGAAAGCGUGGGGAGCGGCGCGAAAG
rnacentral:rRNA from 2 species